UAAAUGUCAUAACUUUUUAAUAUAUUUAUAAUUCCAGGGAAUCAGGUGAGAAUCCUGAACAGUUCCGCUGCUGUGAGCAGGGAGUCUGUAUUUGAUAUGCCACUGAUGAUAAACAUAUAUUAUUUGUUAUCUUACAGAUAUGAGAUAGAUUGGAUUCGGGAAGGUGAAUACAGGCGUUGAUAUGCGAGUCAGAAGACCGGUUUACAGGCAGAUUUUAAU
rnacentral:ncRNA from 2 species